rnacentral:rRNA from 1 species
AUUGAACGCUGGCGGAACGCUUUACACAUGCAAGUCGAACGGCAGCACGGACUUCGGUCUGGUGGCGAGUGGCGAACGGGUGAGUAAUGUAUCGGAACGUGCCCAGUCGUGGGGGAUAACGUAGUGAAAAUUACGCUAAUACCGCAUACGAUCUAUGGAUGAAAGCGGGGGAUCGCAAGACCUCGCGCGAUUGGAGCGGCCGAUAUCAGAUUAGGUAGUUGGUGGGGUAAAGGCCCACCAAGCCAACGAUCUGUAGCUGGGCUGAGAGGACGACCAGCCACACUGGAACUGAGACACGGUCCAGACUCCUACGGGAGGCAGCAGUGGGGAAUUUUGGACAAUGGGCGAAAGCCUGAUCCAGCCAUUCCGCGUGCAGGAUGAAGGCCCUCGGGUUGUAAACUGCUUUUGUACAGAACGAAAAGGUUUCUACUAAUACUAGGAGCUCAUGACGGUACUGUAAGAAUAAGCACCGGCUAACUACGUGCCAGCCGCCGCGGUAA